CAGUCGCCGCGGGAAUACGGAGGGUGCAAGCGUUAUCCGGAUUCACUGGGUUUAAAGGGUGCGUAGGCGGAUCUGUAAGUCAGUGGUGAAAUCUCCAGGCUUAACCUGGAAACUGCCGUUGAUACUAUAGGUCUUGAAUUUUGUGGAGGUUAGCGGAAUAUGUCAUGUAGCGGUGAAAUGCAUAGAUAUGACAUAGAACACCAAUUGCGAAGGCAGCUGGCUACACAACUAUUGACGCUGAGGCACGAAAGCAUGGGGAUCAAACAGGAUUAGAUACCCCGGUAGUCCCUGUCUCUUAUAC
rnacentral:rRNA from 1 species